UGCAUGUUUAGUAACCCAGGUAGUUUUUCCAGCUCCUGGCAAGCCAAUCAUCAUCACAACUUCACAAUCUUUCUUCUCUUCAGGCCCCUUUGGUCCUCUAACUCGAUCCUCUAAGGGGACGUUCUGGAUGAAAGUAUACUCUUCAGGUAUUGGAAAAUAUGGCUUUUCCUUCUGACCAAAAUUAAAUUCAACUGCACAGUUGUGGCAGAGAACAUGCGGGAACAGUGGCCGUCCAGCAAGAACUUCCUUACUGAUUUUGAAGGCAACGCCAAGAUCUUGUCCAUUCUUAGCAUACGAGAGUUCUACUUCAUCACUUUCAAAGUUAGCAAAACAUGUAAUCACAUCAUUUUCAUCAAACUUUUCUCCAUAAUCUUCAGUCUCACAGUUGCAUGUUUUUAUUCCUUUUAGAGAAUACCCAUAAGAAAAUUCUUCUUCACCAAGUAACAUUCCACUUGUAGUUAGUGACCAGCCAAUACGAACUUCAUGUAUGUCAAUAUCUUUUGUAUAUAAAUGCCUUACUGGGAUCUUCUCUGUAACCUUCAUCUCAAAACACACUUUGCCUUUUGACACACCAUAGGAUGCUCUUCCUCCAGCCCAAAGAAAAGCAAAACUCUCCAUUGUAAGGGAAGAAGCACUGAGACGAUCUCUUGAUAUUUUAAAAUGUAGAUCACAAUUAUAAGUAUCAAGACAAACCACUGUGUCAUCGAAGUGUUCAUCUUCUUCUUCAACAGGUGGCUGAGGAGAUUUGGCUCUGCUAUACUUGUUCUCUUCAAUGUACUCAAAAUAUCCACGGCCAUGAUCUUCUCGUGGUCUUUUAACACCCCUCUUUUUAUCUCCGCCUUUCUGUUCUGUUUUGCCGUCCCCUCCCGCCUGCUGCUGGCCCUGCCUCGCCCCGGGCGGCGCCACCGUCACCGCGAACAGCGAGGUGGGGCCGCUGCUCUUCCCCGCGGCCUCCUUGGCGGCCCCGCGCUGCUGUUGGGGCUGUUGCUGCUGCGUCGCCGGCGGUUGAGGCUGCUGCUCCCCGUGCCCGUUCUCGUCGCCCGCGCCUUCCUCUUCGUCCCCGAGCUCAUCUUCCCCUUCCUGGAAACCCUGAUCGUCGCCGUUCUCGUCUUCCGAGGCGGCCUCCUCCUCCUCCAUCGGGCCCGAGUCGGCCGCCCCCGCGGCCCCGUUCUCCUCUCCUAGCUCCAUCUGGUCGCCGUCCAGAGCGGAGAUUCCUUCCUCCUCCUCUUCCUCUUCCUCCUCCUCUUCAUCGCCGCCGGCCGCGGCCUCCUGCUCGAGGCCUGCUCCCGAGCGCCCAGCGGAAUCCCCGCCCAGGUCUAGGCUGCCGUUCCCGGGCUCCAUGGCGGGGCGGCCCCCGGCCUCCUCGUCGUCCAGCGCAGCCUGGAGUCGCUCCAUGAGCUCGGCCUUGAGACCCUUGUCAGAAAGGCGUCGCUUCUUGAGCUCCUCUUUCAGCUCCGACACCUUCAGCUUUUUUACAUUAACAGGCGAGGAACUCAUGGUGAGGGCCCCGAUUCACCGCUAGGCGCUGCCUCAAACUCGGCUCCGCUCACUCGGCCACUGGUGGCGGCUGCUGCGGCUGCUCCUCGGCCCGGGCGGCGGCUGCGGCUGCGGCUGGAGAUGGGUUCGUGCUGCAGAGCGGAUCCGCCUGGUGUCGAACGGCGCCAAUUCCUUUCACCGAGUUCGCGAGGGAGACGCGGAGACUCGCCU
rnacentral:lncRNA from 1 species